rnacentral:rRNA from 1 species
UACGGGGGGGGCAAGCGUUGUUCGGAAUUACUGGGCGUAAAGGGCUCGUAGGCGGCCAACUAAGUCAUACGUGAAAUCCCUCGGCUUAACCGGGGAACUGCGUCUGAUACUGGAUGGCUUGAGAUUGGGAGAGGGAUGCGGAAUUCCAGGUGUAGCGGUGAAAUGCGUAGAUAUCUGGAGGAACACCGGUGGCGAAGGCGGCAUCCUGGACCAACACUGACGCUGAGGAGCGAAAAGCCAGGGGAGCAAACGGG